GGGGAGGGCCUUUUUAUAGAGAGCCCUAGGACUCCUGGUGGUCCUAAGACUUCCGAUCUCCGUGGUUUAAUCGGAGAAGAAGACUCCUAUCGGGAGUCUUCUUCCCGGUUCCCUGUUCUUUUUUUUUUUUGGGCUUGGGUCUUUUAAAUUGGGCCUUAGUUUGGGCUAUAACAUUUAUCUUUAGCUUGCAGCAUGUAAUUAAAAUCUUCAAUAAGCAAAAAGAGGAAUGUUUAAGGAA
rnacentral:lncRNA from 1 species